AGAGUUUGAUCCUGGCUCAAGAUUGACGCCUGGCGGGCAUCUUUUCACCAUCCAAGUCGAACGGUACCAGGCCUUCGGGCGCUGACGAGUGCGGAACGGGUGAGUAAUGCAUCGGAACGUGCCCAGUCGUGGGGAUACCGCAGCGAAAACUGUGCUAAUCCGCAUACGAUCUGUGGAUGAAGCGGGGGCCGUAAGGCCUCGCGCGAUUGGAGCGGCCGAUGUCAGAUUAGGUAGUUGGUGGGUAAAGGCCCCCCAAGCCAACGAUCUGUAGCUGGUCUGAGAGGACGACCAGCCACACUGGGACUGAGACACGGCCCAGACUCCUACGGGAGGCAGCAGUGGGGAAUUUUGGACAAUGGGCGCAAGCCUGAUCCAGCAAUGCCGCGUGCAGGAAGAAGGCCUUCGGGUUGUAAACUGCUUUUGUACGGAGCGAAAAGGCUCUCUCUAAUACAGGGGGCUGAUGACGGUACCGUAAGAAUAAGCACCGGCUAACUACGUGCCAGCAGCCGCGGUAAUACGUAGGGUGCAAGCGUUAAUCGGAAUUACUGGGCGUAAAGCGUGCGCAGGCGGUUUUGUAAGACAGGCGUGAAAUCCCCGGGCUCAACCUGGGAAUGGCGCUUGUGACUGCAAAGCUGGAGUGCGGCAGAGGGGGAUGGAAUUCCGCGUGUAGCAGUGAAAUGCGCAGAUAUGCGGAGGAACACCGAUGGCGAAGGCAAUCCCCUGGGCCUGCACUGACGCUCAUGCACGAAAGCGUGGGGAGCAAACAGGAUUAGAUACCCUGGUAGUCCACGCCCUAAACGAUGUCAACUGGUUGUUGGGUCUUAACUGACUCAGUAACGAAGCUAACGCGUGAAGUUGACCGCCUGGGGAGUACGGCCGCAAGGUUGAAACGGCAAAGGAAUUGACGGG
rnacentral:rRNA from 1 species